rnacentral:rRNA from 1 species
ACGGAGGAUCCAAGCGUUAUCCGGAUUUAUUGGGUUUAAAGGGUGCGUAGGCGGCCUAUUAAGUCAGGGGUGAAAGACGGUAGCUCAACUAUCGCAGUGCCUUUGAUACUGAUGGGCUUGAAUACACUAGAGGUAGGCGGAAUGAGACAAGUAGCGGUGAAAUGCAUAGAUAUGUCUCAGAACACCGAUUGCGAAGGCAGCUUACUAUGGUGCAAUUGACGCUGAGGCACGAAAGCGUGGGGAUCAAACAGGA